GCAGCUCACCUUAUAAGGCUUAGCCACUCGUCAGUUAGUCAGUCUUGGAGCCUGUUGGGUAACCUGUAGUUUUAACUAUGGGCGGAUAAAAGAUAGGGGGUCACAAACCAUGGCGGUUAAGAGAUUGUCUCCCAAAUUAAUCUCAAUCCUGGAGGGCCAAUACUUUGAACCGAGCAGAAGGUUAUACGGUACCAAUUGUACAGGGCAAGACUGCUACUACUUCCUCGGGGUUGUAGACCU
rfam:Thermanaeromonas toyohensis ToBE genome assembly, chromosome: I